CUGACAGCUGUCAGCUGAUGUUUACGUGUCAUAAUGACGUUCGAAAUCAACAAAUGAAGUCAAUUCCAUUAAUUUUUAUUAAAAAUAAUUUUGGCAUUCAAUAACCCAAUUAUGAAAAAAAUAUUACACCUUCAUAUUUUAAAAUAAGCAUGUCAUGGUUCGCGGAGCUCGCGGGGAAGGCGGAAAGUCUUCUGGUAAACUUUGAUGAGCAGACUGGGGCCGCUUUACGAAAUCAUAAUGGCCCGAAGCAACGUAAAA